rnacentral:rRNA from 1 species
AACGUAGGAGGCGAACGUUAUCCGGAUUCACUGGGCGUAAAGCGCGUGUAGGCGGUGGUGCAAGUUGGGCGUGAAAUCUCUCGGCUCAACCGGGAGGGGUCGUCCAAUACUGCAUCACUUGAGGGCAGGAGAGGGAAGUGGAAUUCCCGGUGUAGCGGUGGAAUGUGCAGAUAUCGGGAGGAACACCCGUGGCGAAGGCGGCUUCCUGGCCUGCUCCUGACGCUAAGACGCGAAAGCUAGGGGAG